rnacentral:rRNA from 1 species
UACGUAGGGUGCAAGCGUUGUCCGGAAUUAUUGGGCGUAAAGAGCUUGUAGGCGGUUUGUCGCGUCUGCUGUGAAAAUCCGGGGCUCAACCCCGGACUUGCAGUGGGUACGGGCAGACUAGAGUGCAGUAGGGGAGACUGGAAUUCCUGGUGUAGCGGUGAAAUGCGCAGAUAUCAGGAGGAACACCGAUGGCGAAGGCAGGUCUCUGGGCUGUAACUG